UAACUAAGCUUUGGUAUAUAAAUGACAAUACGAAUGUGUGCAUUUCGUCUACUCUAGCAACAACCAGUUUAGCUGUAUAUACUUCAUUAUCUGUUACUGAAAGAUCAGAUAUCAUAAGCAUAACAUCAAAGAUUAUUGGAAGCACAUUUGUAGGAGCAAGUUCAAGUAGUAUAAUGCACUCAACAGUAACAAGUUAUGGAACACAGUCAACAGUUACAAGUACUGUAAUGCCACCAAGUAGUGGAUCUAUGAAUUCAAGCUUAUUGUUUUCAAUUUUUGGUGCUAUUGGUGCUAUAGUAAUUACAUGUAUCAUAGCAGUCAUUGUAAUUCUGGCCUGCAUUAUGUAUAGAAGGAAAAGUAACAGUGUAAAGAAGAAAGAAAGAUGGUGAAUUGAAUAGUAUCAUUUACUUAUUCAUUAUUAAUUGUAAUUGUAGGAAUAUUAAUGACUAC